AUUGAACGCUGGAGGCAGGCUUAACACAUGCAAGUAGAACGAGUGGCGGACGGGUGAGUAAUGCUUGGGAAACUGGCUUAUGGAGGGGGAUAACUACGGGAAACUGGAGCUAAGACCGCGUACAAUAGGAGGCGCCCAAGUGGGAGUAGGUAGUUGGUUGGGUAAACGCUAACCAAGACGACGAGCUCUCGCGGGUCUGAGAGGAUGACCCGCCACACGGGGACUUGUGAACGGCCCAGACUCCUAAGGGAGGCAGCAGUGGGGAAUAUUGCGCAAUGGGGGCAACCUGACGCAGCCAUGCCGCGUGAAUGAAGAAGGCCUUCGGGUUGUAAAGUUCUUUCGGUAGCGAGGCGUUAACUACAGAAGAAGCACCGGCUAACUCCGUGCCAGCAGCCGCGGUAAUUC
rnacentral:rRNA from 1 species